ensembl:lncRNA
UUUUUUUUUUUUUUUUUUUUUUUUUAAGGAUUCACACAACCAUAUAUACGCCUUUCUUCAGUCCAAGCCUAAAAACAUAAAUCAAAAUCGUGGUAGCUUUGCAGUUUCAAAGUAAAAUUGGAAUUAAACACUGCUCUAAAGGAUGGCUAUAAUUGCUCUUUAACUCAUCUAAUAAUGCUUCCUCAAGCUAUUCUACUCUACGUAGAUGUGUUUAAUAAUUGUAACUCUAUGUUCUAUCUGGUUUUUUAAUUGCAAUUAAUUACAUAUUGUUUGAGUAGGAUUUUCUUUUACCCUGUGAUGACCCCAUGAUGACACUGAGAUAUGCACAUUACACUCUGAGACUGUCCUUGUGUUUUAGAUUGAGUCUUCCAUACCAUUCUCUGUAUUAAUCUAUUUUUUCCCUAGAAAUCUUAAUCUCUGUGGAUGCUUUGAUUUACAGGUUGGCACUGUAGAGUGUUACAGACUAUAGGUGUGAGCUGUCAAUAAUAACUCUAUCGCGAGAACUGUAUUUUAGGAAACAAAAUUCAAUCAAGAAGUAAAAUAUUACAAAGGACUAGCUCAGGUUCUUAACAAAUGACAUGGUGAGUAAAAAAUUUUCUCAAAUUAAGCUUCUGCCUUUUAAAAUAGUUAAUAUUUACAAGAUCAUUUAUAUUUUCCAACAUAUUUGAUGGUACCUAGGCCAUGAACUAACACUUCUAGAAAGACAGUCUACAACAUCUGUGUGUUCUGUAUUUCCUUCUGUGCUGACUUGCUUUUUCCUGUUGGCUUCAUGAUAUAAGUAUGGAAUUACAUUACAAGAGUUUCUGUGUGGGCAAUCCAAAUUACCUGGCUGAAGCAAACACACCCUGCCACUUGAAGAGAUUAAGGAAUACCAAAGAUUUUUAUUUUAGUAACCAGCAGUGGGUUUUUCAAACUAUUCAGUACAGGCCAACUUUUGUUCUAUUGAUAUCAACAGUAAAACUCUUCAGAAAGACUGGAAAGAAUCCAGUUCUGAAUACUUCUGAAAAACCCUACCCUAAAAAUCUUUAUUUUAAAUUACUUCAAAACAUGCAAUUUAUGGAAUUUACCACAAGAAAUUCUGCCAGCAUGGAUCUGAAAGGCAGCUGGGGAUAUAAGAAAACAGAUGAUCCACAUGACAUUCUUACUUGGAGCUGUGCAGUCUGACAAGUGAAAAUAAUUUACUUGUGAGGGAAAACAAUUUCUCUCUACGCCCUUUUCCAUACAUGAAAUAUUCAGUUCUCAUUUAUUUUUCCACAAGAAAAUGGCAACAGCAUUUUGUACUACUGAAUUUUAUGUGAGACCCUCUCAAGUGGUCCAACUUGUUCUCAAAUCUCAAUACAAUAAAAACAUAUAUAAACUAUCAAACAAUCCAACUGAAUAAAAACAAAGACACUUAAAUACAGUCUAUAAUUGCUUUAAUGAAUCUGAUUACAAAUUGCAAGGCAUUUUUUCUUUUUGUGCUCACAUAAACAUCCAAGACAUUAAAUAACCUUCCUAAGGUAGACUCACUAGUAAUGCAAUUACUCUGAACAAAAACAAAAAUUAGUGUAAUGGAAAUAAUUUACAAUUGAAGUGCAGAAGUCAUAAUGGAAGGAUGGAUCAACUACAUGGAAGAAUAAAGAUUAUAAUUCUUAAAGUGAAGCACAAAGUUAAUAUAUGAGAAGCUGUGUGAGUCAAGCUAGAAACUUAUUUCACCUUGCUGAACAAGAUCAAAGAUGAGUUCAUUGUAACAGCAUGAAUAUUAGUAAACAAUUGUAUAAAUAACCCAACUUUAUGUAAACCCAGACCCACACGCCUGUCAGCACAGCACUGAGCAGGAAUGGUGAGGUGAGCUACUGAGAUAAGAAAAAGGCAAGACUGAGGACAGAACCCCAAAUCUUAGACAUUAGGUUAUGAAAACCCCAGAAAGAUAACUAAGGCUUGUAGAGAGGAUGGGUGGCCUGACUCUGCUGAAGUAAACAAGCAGGAUUUAAUUGAAUUUUAGUGAAAGUGACUGAAGAUCUGCUCUGCAUUUGUGCUAGUUCUCUUACAGAUCCUAGUGACCUCCAACUAAGUGUGCAUACCUUAUUUUUUUUAAGAUUUUAAGUUAGAUUCUAGCAGCCUUUUCAAAUUAUAAUUGAGAGAACAGCUCUUCCAUCAUGUUACAGUUUACAUGGAAUGAAUGACAUCUUCAUUUAAUAAGAAAAUACAAUUUUCUUAAAAACCCCACACCACUAAACAAUGGACAUUCCCUAUCUAUAUUUUCUUCCUCAUAAAUCAGGUUCUAUCCAAGGGUCAGGGAGCUGUUACUAACUUCAUAACAACUGCUGGUUCUGCUUACAGUUCCUGAAGUGCCAGCAGCACAAUAAUUGAGUGUUGUGAAGCAGUUUGAGAUACAUGGUACAUUCAGGAGGGUGAAUAAUAUAUUCACAAUUUUUCUUCACUGUUUUAUUUCAUACCUAAACUCUAUCCAAAUAUGGAGAGCUCUCAUCUGAUAACUGAAUCUGCAUCCAGUUGUCAUAAUUCUAGUCAAAAAGGAAGACCAUCAGCCCCUCUCUAACAGCAUAAAUACACACACUCAAAUUCUCAAGGCUUUAUGAUGAAUUCUUUGGAUGCUUUCUUUUCCCUAGCAAUUUCCAAAGAAAAUGAGCAAGAAGUUCAAGAAAAGAGUUCAUAAAAUUGUGAACUACACAGUAUUUAAUGCAUAAGCUAACUUAAUUACAGAAAUAUGUAGAAAAAAGUCAUGGUAUGUCAGGGCAUACCAGCAACUCCAAAAAGCUUGUGGCAUACUUGACCUGAAAUCAGUACCUUCAGUCUGGGUAGGUGGAAGAGAACACAUUAUUUCUGGAAACAAACUGCAUCCUUCUCUAUGCUGUAGUUGGCUUUUAUUUCUUCUAGUCAGUUUACCAGUGAAGUAUGUUGUGUGUACGUUCUGUUUACACUUCAGAGGAACAAAAUCCUGAAGUGAUGAUCCUAAUAGGAUCCAUUACUAAAAUCCUGAGAACAUUACAGUUGGCAAUCUCUUUGAGUAGCUUGCUAAGAAUUUUUUUUCUGCAGAGCUAUCGAUUUUCUUUCAUUUUCUGAGCUGGGAGUCUUUGCUUAGAAGUAGAAAGUCUGAAAAGCACGCUGAUUCAUAGGCCACAUACCAUUUCUGCUUUAGUGCACAAUAUACUUCUGAGAAAGAAAUAAAAUGACCUCGUUUACUACCAUGUUAAAUAAAUUAGAGCUCUGCAUGACCUGUCAUCUCCAAACCCAGGUAAUGCUAAAAGCAGGAACUCCCAGUAUUUUUUCUUUCCCUGGUUUUAUGCACACUGCUGUUUCUAGACCUCUGCUUAUUUCCAGUUACCCCUGCUUGUACAUUUAAUAAAGUAUUUGUUGAAAUACAUUUAUUAGAAUGUGUGAUCAAUUAAAUAACUUUGUGUCUUAAAAUAAACACAUACAGUGCAAUCUGAAGACGGCAAGUCAUUUUUGACAGCUUCUAUACUUUUUUAAACUGAAAAAGUAUUAGUAUUGUCAGUUUUACAGUAUUCAUUAUUUAUGCA